AGCUCCAAUAGCGUAUAUUAAAGUUGUUGCAGUUAAAAAGCUCGUAGUUGAAUUUCUGGCCAGUCCUGCACUGUGCAGUUUGCCGGUGUAGGGCUUGGUCAUCCGUAGGGGAAUCUCGUUCGGCCUUCACUGGUCGGCGGGUGGAACCUACAAUUUACUGUGAAAAAAUUAGAGUGUUUCAGGCAGGCUUUCGCUUGGAUACUCCAGCAUGGAAUAAUGGAAUAGGACUUUGGUCUAUUUGUUGGUUUGAGAUCAAAGUAAUGAUUAAUAGGGACAGUUGGGGGCAUUCGUAUUUAAUUGUCAGAGGUGAAAUUCUUGGAUUUAUUAAAGACGAACUUAUGCGAAAGCAUUUGCCAAGGAUGUUUUCA
rnacentral:rRNA from 1 species